rnacentral:rRNA from 1 species
UACAGAGGGGGCAAGCGUUAUUCGGAAUUAUUGGGCGUAAAGCGCGUGUAGGCGGCCUUGCAAGUCGGGUGUGAAAUCCCUCAGCUUAACUGAGGAAGUGCGCCCGAAACUGCUAGGCUCGAGUACCGGAGAGGAUGGCGGAAUUCCCCAAGUAGAGGUGAAAUUCGUAGAUAUGGGGAGGAACACCGGUGGCGAAGGCGGCCAUCUGGACGGAUACUGACGCUGAGACGCGAAAGCGUGGGUAGCAAACAGG